GAGAAGCCGAGAACGCCCAGGAGAAGGCGAGAGACGACAGCGAGAGAGAGAGAGAGAGAGAGCUGUCAGACCAGAGGGUCAAAAUGGGCGCGCCGCUUAUCUCAAGACCAUUAAGGAUGGGUACCUUGUCUCUACACAAUGAAAGAUAAUCUACAGUUCCUGAUAAAGGCAUCAGCCUCCUGGGACCUGGACGAUACGGCUGGCUGAGGGGUCAUCCUGGUGUCACGAGCGUGGGCGAGGGCCAUAUCUAGGACUCCGCUGGUUCCAGCAGCUGGGAGCAGACCUUCCCAACCCACACCUGCGACCCGCGACCCUGCGACCCGCAGCCAAGUUAACAGUCGUGCGAGGACGCACGAUCUUGAGGAGGGGGCAUUGGUGUGACAUGGAAAUCGAGAAGAAAUGAAAUACGUAAGAAAAAAGAUAGCAA